AGAGUUUGAUCCUGGCUCAGAUUGAACGCUGGCGGCAGGCUUAACACAUGCAAGUCGAGCGGUAACAGAGAUAGCUUGCUAUCUGCUGACGAGCGGCGGACGGGUGAGUAAUGCUUGGGAAUAUGCCUUUGAGUGGGGGACAACAGUUGGAAACGACUGCUAAUACCGCAUAACGUCUACGGACCAAAGGGGGGGAUCUUCGGACCUCUCGCUCAUUGAUUAGCCCAAGUGAGAUUAGCUAGUUGGUAAGGUAAUGGCUUACCAAGGCGACGAUCUCUAGCUGGUUUGAGAGGAUGAUCAGCCACACUGGGACUGAGACACGGCCCAGACUCCUACGGGAGGCAGCAGUGGGGAAUAUUGCACAAUGGGCGAAAGCCUGAUGCAGCCAUGCCGCGUGUGUGAAGAAGGCCUUCGGGUUGUAAAGCACUUUCAGUUGUGAGGAAAGGGGUGUAGUUAAUAGCUGCAUGCUGUGACGUUAACAACAGAAGAAGCACCGCUAACUU
rnacentral:rRNA from 1 species